AGGUUAAGUGAAUAAGGGCGCACGGUGGAUGCCUUGGCACUAGGAGCCGAUGAAGGACGGGACUAACACCGAUAUGCUUUGGGGAGCUGUAAGUAAGCUAUGAUCCAGAG
rnacentral:rRNA from 1 species